rnacentral:sRNA from 1 species
UACCAUGGAUUUUGACUAUCCUAUAGGG